rnacentral:lncRNA from 1 species
AUGAAUUUUAUUGGGGUGGGGAGUGCCCCGGAGGCUGCACUGCGGGGAGAUCACCGAAGGCACCUUGGGGCAUUGGAGGCUCUGGCCUGGGAGACUGAGGACUCCCCUUGGGUCGAGGAGGGGAGAUGCAGCUGGAGAGAGGACACCUGGACACCUGCCCAAUCCAGUGACGUCAGCCUCAUCCGCUGUCAGAAGGGUGCGGGGCCUCGGGGGCGGAGUCUCUCCCGCCUCUGCCCUCGGUCUAGUCUGGCCACCUUCCCAGUCUGGUGGGUGCAGAUGUGCAGAAGCCUGGGUCGGGAGGCACCAAGGGCGGAUGGCGCCGCCAGACACAGACCGGCGUUAAGGCCGCGUCGCCCUUGGCCUCUGGCUGGAGAGUCUCCUACGGCCUAAUGCGAGUGGUAGAGGAGCUGCUAGAGGGGCUCCGGGCCAUGGCCGGGAACAGAGAGACCUCCCUAUGUGAGCCCCCUGAGACCCUGACCGCGGGCCCUGCCGCUCCUCCCAGCACCCCUACGACAUUAGCCAUGGGGAGCCGAGAUUAGCCGAUGGAUUCUUAAACACUAAAGGGACUCCUGAGCAUAAAGUGGGCACUGGUGACACUGCUUCCACGGGACGGUUAGUUUCUAGUGAAAACAACUUCUCCACCGCGCAUGAUAGCUCAUGUCUGUAAUCCUGACAUUUCCGGAGGCCAAGGUAGGGAGAAUUGCUUGAGCCCAGGAAUUCAAGACCAGCCUGGGCAAUAUAGUGAGACCCCAUCUCACUCUCUCUAUUUUUUUUUUGGUGGUUGUUUUUUUGUUUUGUUUUGUUUUUUAGACGGAGCCUCGCUCUGUCGCCCAGGCUGGAAUGCAGUGGCGCGAUCUUGGCUCAUUGCAACCUCCACCUCCCGGGUUCAAGCGAUUCUCGUGCCUCCACCUCCCGAGUAGCUGAGAUUACAGGUGUGUGCCACCAUGCCCAGCUAAUGUUUUUGUAUUUUUAGUAGAGAGACGGGGUUUCACCAUGUUGGCCAGGCUGGUGUCAAACUCCUGACCUUAAAUAAUCCACCUGUUUUGGCCUCCCAAAGUGCUGGGGUUACAGGCGUGAGCCACUGCGCCCAGCCA